rnacentral:rRNA from 1 species
GGAGUUAGCCGGUGCUUCUUCUGCGAGUAACGUCACAGAUGUAAGGUAUUAACUUACACCCUUUCCUCCUCGCUGAAAGUGCUUUACAACCCGAAGGCCUUCUUCACACACGCGGCAUGGCUGCAUCAGGGUUUCCCCCAUUGUGCAAUAUUCCCCACUGCUGCCUCCCGUAGGAGUCUGGGCCGUGUCUCAGUCCCAGUGUGGCUGAUCAUCCUCUCAGACCAGCUAGGGAUCGUCGCCUAGGUGAGCCUUUACCUCACCUACUAGCUAAUCCCACCUGGGCUUAUCCAUCAGCGCAAGGCCCGAAGGUCCCCUGCUUUCCCCCGUAGGGCGUAUGCGGUAUUAGCAGUCGUUUCCAACUGUUAUCCCCCACAAAUGGGCAAAUUCCCAGGCAUUACUCACCCGUCCGCCGCUCGUCAUCUCAACACANACUUAGUAAUAGUACGUCUCGACUGUCAUGUGUUAGGUCGUCGCCGCCACGCGUCUAUACUGAGACCGACGAAUACGAACCCGUACGACGUACGAGGCGGGCGGUCGGCGAACGGACGGCGACUAG